rnacentral:rRNA from 1 species
ACACAGUUGGGAAUCUGCCCAUCACCACGGAAUAACUAUUUCAAAUAAAAGCUAAUACCGUAUAUUCUCUGCCGAGGAAAGAUUUAUCGCUGACGGAUGAGCCCGCGUCAAAUUACGUAGUUGGUGAGGUAAUGGCUCACCACGCCGUACGAUCUGUACGCUGGCCUGACAGGAUGAUCCGCCACCCUGGGACAGAAACACGGACCAGACUCCUACCGGAGGUCCCCGUGGGGAAUAUUGGAC